rnacentral:rRNA from 1 species
AUGCUCUCUCAGGUCAUCAUCGUUGGUCAAGCUUCUACCGCCGGUACAAAGGCUCUCUCUGCUCAGUUGCCGUCACCAUGCAGGGAUGCUCAUCUCGAUUUUGGUGAAACUGCACAAAAUGAUCCGAUGGUCAAAAGGUUGCAAACUUCAUUUAUUAGGAAGCUCGAACGUUGCCAGCAAAUUGAAGCCUGGUCAGGGUUCACGGUUCAUGGGCUAGGGACUGCAUGGAUCGUUUUUUUCUUUAGCUGCCUCUGUUCCAAAAUAAGUGUCAACUUUAGUAGUAGUACAACUUUGUACUAA